rnacentral:rRNA from 1 species
UUGAACUGAAGAGUUUGAUCCUGGCUCAGAUUGAACGCUGGCGGCAUGCCUUACACAUGCAAGUCGAACGGCAGCACGGGUGCUUGCACCUGGUGGCGAGUGGCGAACGGGUGAGUAAUACAUCGGAACAUGUCCUGUAGUGGGGGAUAGCCCGGCGAAAGCCGGAUUAAUACCGCAUACGAUCCAC